rnacentral:misc_RNA from 1 species
AAGUUCUGAUCUAUCCGCCCAAGUCUCUCUCAGCUUUACUCUCUUCUCAGACUUUACCAUUCAAUAUGGAGUACACAACAGAUAAUGCAUCAUCACUCAGUCUAUUUGUUUUCAUGUUGCUAACGAUUCUCAACUGUAUCUGUAUCAAUAUCAUUAUCCUUAAAGACUUGUACUUAACUUUUUGCCAAGUCCCCAGGGUGUUUUUGUACCUCUGGAGGGUUUGGGUUGAGAGAAAGUCAUCAAGAGUUGAAGUUGCAACCAAGAAACUUUGCGUCGACAGAAAUUUAAAUCAGAAGCUG